rnacentral:lncRNA from 1 species
UAAAAAUUUUAUGUCGCCUAUGUCAAGAACGCCCAUAAGGCAUCUUGAUCGCUAUUGUGGAUGACGCCAAUUCAUUUAAAAAUGAUAAGGUAUCUUGCACGCCGUUGUGGAUGUCGCCUAUAUCAAGAACGCCCAUUCAUCAAAAAAUGAUAAGGCAUCUUGAUCGCCAUUAUAAAUGUCGCCAAUUAUCAAAAUCGCCCAUUUAUAGAUGUCGUCGAGUUAAUUGGUCGCCAUAAAUAAUUUUGAAAUUUGCCAAGUUUAUUUCACUAAUUUCUUAAAUUACAUUUAUGUCGCCAUGCAAUUCGGAUGCAAGGAAAUAGGAUGCAGAACGAGAAUUUAAGGCAAAACAAAAAUUGUCAUUCUUUAGGAAUAUCAUUUGAAAAUUACAAGGGUGGCACAUCGCCAUUACAAAAAAGAGAUGAGAAAAGGGGUUCAUUCCUCGCCCUUCUCCCUCUCUUCAGUAUAUUCAUCCUCCUUUUCCAUUUCCUCUUCUUCAAGAAGAUUGUGGUAAAGGCCCAUAUUAUCCAAAUUGAUGCCAAGAUUGGGAUGAUGGCGAGGUAAUUGCCUUUUGCAAAAAUCGAACCCCUCGCCAACGUAUUUUGAAGAAGAUUCUUCAAUAGUUUUGUGGAAGUUGUCCGAAGACUUAUACUCCUUAAUAGCAUUUUCUUUGGAGAGGACUUCGUUCUUUCGUAGCUCGGCCACCUUUGCCUCCAACCUUGCCAUGUCCUCAUUUCUCUUCUGAAGCUCGAGGCUAGUUCUUUUGGCCUCCUCAAAAGAUUGGGCCAAAAGCCCUUCUAGCUCUAUGGCUCGAUUUUGAGCUCGAACCAUCUCCAGUUCGGAUGACUCCACCUUGAUGAGCUAGAGGGAGGCAUCAUUCCCCAGAUCCCUACACCGGAUGACAUGGGAAGACCCGAGCACGAUCCCCUACUAUAAAUAAGUUUCUAUAAGCACUGAGAAAAAAAAUUGUGACCACUUAAUCCAAAAAGAGUUUGUCUACCUUCUCUUUGUCAGCAGGGAGGAUUACCCCAGAAAAAAUCUUAUCUGCCAUGAAAGGACUUGCGUACACAGAAGCUCCUUCACCCAAAAUCUCUCAAGUUUCUUAGAAGAAGGCCUCUUGGAAGAUUUCCCCCUCGGGAGCUAUUGGUGAUGUGAUCCCUCUGCUCCCCGCCUUGCUAGGUUUGGCCUUUUUGGCCUCAAGCAGCGGUACAACCUCUUUUCCCUUGGAGUAGUCGACAACCAAGUCCUAUAUCUUAUCUCAGGGCCAUUUUUCUCGGAUCACCACCCUUGUAUUGGACAAGGUGGCGACCUUAGAUACCUCCUUACUCUUUUUAUCAUCCACCUUUUUGGCAAGCUUUGACAAAGUAAUUCUCUUAGACAUCUUUUCAUAGCAAAAAUAGACAUCAAAUAUUAAUACGAGGUAAAAUAUUUUAAUAAAUAAAAGGUUAGAGUUAGUACCAUUCAAUCUUAGCUUUAGGGGAGCCUUGAGUUAGAUAAUGACUCUGACCUAGAAUUCGAGCUCGGGCCUGAACUAAAAGGGCCUAAACCUAAGGGGUCUGGGACUUUUCCCCUUAGCAUCCUCAGCAUGGUUAAAGCAAGAAAGGUAGGUAAAAUCCUCCUACAUUCCUUAUUAAUGAUUCCUAGAUAUUCUAUGGAUUCAUCUCGGGGGCUCUCGUUAUGAGGAGAUUCAUCUCAGAGACGAAGGGACUCACCCUCGUCGCCUGAUGUAGCAACCGCGCCAUCCCCAGAUGUGUCUUUAUCUCUGCCACUAGAGGAUGCCUCACCAUGACUUGGGGCAAAGAAACAAUGGAAUGUUCUAGAGUCAAGAACAUCGGGAACACUGAAAUAUCCCCUAAGCCCUAUAUUUCGAAGAACCUUCCUUGUCCUUACCUCUUUGGUAUCGAUCAAAAGGGGCAAUUUGUUGCAACAUUUAUAUGAAAAAAGGAACAUACUUAUAAGUUUAUGGUGAGAUGGUAGAUAAUAAAAAUGUCAUAAAAACAAUACUAACCUGGGCUGCCCCAUACUCUUGGCACCCGAGGAACUUCAUCUGAAGUAGUAUUCAGAAGAAUUUCCCAAUUAUCCCCAGAGAUGAAGAAGAAUCUGUUCUUCCAACCUUUAACAUUGCUCGGUGACCCCUUAAGUACGUUCUUUCCUAGCCUUACCUUAAAAUAAAGCCACCUUGAGUCUGGCUUUGGAUUCUUGAACAAGGUGUAAAAACACCUGAAUUCAUUGAGAGACAUAUAACAUCUAUAAAAUUGCCAUAUCGCCAGUACGCAGAUGACACAUCGCCAAGCAUUGGGAGAAAUUUGAGCUGGACAAAUGUUGUAGAAACUCAAAAUUCUCCUAAUAGUGGGGUGGACUGGGAACCUGAGUCCAGAGGGGAAAGUAGCCUCAUAAAAGGCCACCUCUCCUGGGCGAGUAGACAGGAUAAUCUCGCCCUCAACCAGGAUUCUAGCUUGAACCCCCAUCGACAAAGAAUAUGUUUUCCACAGGUGAUCUAGAUCACCCUGAGUCAUGGUACUAAGUAGAUCAUCAAGGGGAGAAUGAGUGACCAAUCCUGGGUCACCCCUAUGAUCAGAGGAGUCAUUCCCGAGAAGGGAUGCCUCAGGAAGAUUUUCCAUUGACGAGGAAGAAAGCCUAUUCGUUUCAUCAAUCAUAUAUGAUGACCCUUCUCCUAGAUGUUCGGAUAUCCAAGAUGGCAAGGAAUCCUCUAAGUUUUCUAGGUCACCUACUCUAGACCUACCAGACAUACACUAAUGAGUUAGGGUUAAAAGUGAAACUAGCAAUUGCACUUAUUGGAAAACUAGGACGAAAAUUUAAGGCGAGCCGAAUAGGGCCGAGAUGCACAACGGAGUAGGAGCAACAGUUUGAUUGUAGAUGCAAAAGAGUACAAAUCAUUAAGGUGACCCUUUAUUUAUAGAGAACCCCAAGGGCUAAGAUCCAAUUACUACUACGAUUAAGAUUGCACGACGUUCUGAAUUCUGAGGCCAAAACUGUCAUUCCCGCCAAAGUACUUUCAUCCCCGCCUGGGAGCUGUUUUUAUUAAUGAACCAGUACACGUGUCAUGCAAUCUGAAUACACAUUUAAUACUGUAACUUGUAGAUCCCAAGUAUUCCAUCUCGGGAUCUCGAGUUGGGGGGCUACUGAUGUGGGGAAAAAUAUCCAAGGUAGGAAGAUCGCCUUAAGAGCCACACCGUUAUCUCGCCUGAAUCUCUUGAUCACCUGUUUUGUCAUAGCCAGUUUGCCACCUCGCCAAAAUAUUAAUGAGCUCCUUUCUAAUGUGCUAUUAGGCAAGAUCUCUUACAUCGCCGGAACAGGUUACCUCCAUAAGUACUCUAUCUAUACGAGACUCCUUCUCCACAAAGACACCUAUGAUUACAGAAUUAUCUCCAUAUGGCAUUCUCCUAUUUUAUCUCUGAAAUCUCUGGGAUCUCUUUCUAUACUUAUCCUCCCGAGGAUCACGCCAUACUUUCCUUAUAUGGCUCUCCAUUCUCCAUCUAUAUAAAGGCCACUCCCUAUUAUGAAAAGGUGGGACUUACCUCAUGCACAUACGCUCUUAUAGUUCUAUCUUUACAUUACUUUCAUUGUGCUCGCCUUAGUUUAAUUGCCACGCCAGAGGGGUUUUGAGUGGCCUCCCCCCGGCCAGUUAUGUUUGUUCAGUUGUUUGCACAAGUCGCCCGAGUUAUUGUGGAGGUUCAGUACCAAGGUGAAAGCAAUUCUGACUGUUGGUUGCUCGCCCAAAUUUUAUACCACAACAAAAGCCAUUUGGGCCUGGAAGACAGAAGGGUGUGUUUGGUAGGUAAGAAACUUAUGAAAGAAAAAAUGAAGAAAAUAUGGAAUGGGAUUUAGACUUUGGGCUAGUUAAAAAAAUUAAGUUUUUUUAACUUUGAAUUUAAAAGGUAAAAUAAGACCCAAAAAAAAUUAUUUCUGUUAUUUGGGUAGUUAAGAAAACUAGCUAUUUCGAUAAUAAACUUUUAUAAAUUCACUUCAAACACACAUAAAAACGAGAAUUUUUUAGCAUAAUAAACUACAAAAAAACAUAGGAGCCUUAGAGCAUCUCCAUUGGUAUAGUUAGUAGGUGUGUUAGUGAGUGUGUUAGUAUGGAUUAGCUAACCAAUUAUUUUUUUCUCUUUAUUGGUAUGGUUAAGGGUGUGCUGAAUGGGUCUCACCACUCCUUGAAACUAGAUACUUAGUUAAAUUAAGCUAGCAUAUUAAGGCCGCAGUUAGUAUGAAAGAUGGCUACAGUUAGUAGUUGAUGUAGAGCAGUUAGUAGUUGCAGCAGUUAGUAGUCUGUAACAAAGGAUCAAUGAUAUACAAGAAAACUAUAUUUUCUAAUUCAAAGUUUGUCUUGGUAUCAGAGUUAUUGGUUACUUUUCUUCUCUGUUUUCUUUCAUUUGGUUUUCAUUUCUGAUUCUAUUCUUUUGCUAGCUUCUAAUGAAACUUCAGAAUCUGAGAAUCCUGAAAAUUCAAGAUCACCAAUUAGCAAAUCCGUCAUUGAUGAACCUUCGAGUCCUAAUUUUCUUCAUCAUUCUAAUGGCCCAGGACUUAUUUUAGUAUCACAAUUUUUAACAGGAGAUAACUAUGCCUCUUAAAAUUGAGCAAUGCUAAUUGCUCUGUCAAUCAAGAACAAGAUUGGAUUUAUUGGUGGAUCCAUCACAAAACUUGAAGAUAAUGAUAUGAACCUUCUUAAUCCAUGGAUUACAAAUAACAAUGUAGUUAUUUCCUGAAUUUUAAACUCUGUUUCUAAGAAAAUUUCUGCAAGUGUGAUUUUUUCUGAUUCUGCAUAUGAGAUUUAGCUUGAUCUUAAGGAUUGAUUUCAAAAAAGGAAUGUACCUAGAAUUUUUCAAUUACGUCGAGAAUUGAUGAACCAUAUUCAAAAUCAAAGCCUUGUUAGUGUCUAUUUCACUAAACUAAAGAUCAUAUGGGAAGAAUUGAACAAUUACAAACUAACAUGUUCUUGUGGUAAACGCAUUUGUGGAGGAGUCAAGAAGCUCAACUCUCAU